rnacentral:misc_RNA from 1 species
GUGAAAUUUAGGGUUUCAUAUCCUUAUUGUUUUCAGAUAAAAUGCCUCGAUAUGAUGAUCGUUAUGGUGGUACUCGGCUCUACGUUGGGCGCCUUUCUUCACGGACGAGGUCCCGUGAUCUUGAUGACCUGUUCAGUCGUUAUGGAAGAGUACGCGAUGUGGAUAUGAAGCGAGACUAUGCAUUUGUUGUAUGUAUUUCCCUCCCUAUACUUCUUUCAUUUUUAUUCAAGCUAUAUUUGGGAGAAAAAAAUGCUAUAUGUUGGCAUCCUUUUUCUGUACUUACUGGUGCAUGUUAAUUUUGCAAGCG